UGAAUGUCCCCACAGAAAACCCUGCAAUAAAGAAUGGGAAACGUUCUGGCAUCCAUAACUGUGAUGGAAAGGAUCCUCCAUUUUGUUAUUCUACUUACCCACAAUCCUGCAUCUCGAAUGACACCAGACCUCUGUGUCCAUUUGUUUGUAGUAUGUGUAAAUAUACCGGUACUCCAGUUACUUGGACAACUCCUUUUACAACUCCAUCCUCAACACGGACAUCACUUUUAGCUUCUGAAA